GGAAACCCUAACGGAGUGUCUCGAGCUGCAGGGGUUGAGAGGAGCAGGUCACCCGCUGCGCGGAGCUGGGCGACUUUUCCUGCCUGCCCAGAGGCCGUAGGAACCUGAGCUGCUUUGGGAACCCUCACUGCCCGAUCCUCCUCCACCGGCUCACCGUCCAUUUCCCCGGUCGCUGGUCUUCUUGCCCAACACCAGCCUUCGAUUUGGUUUCUACUCCACCCUGACUGGACAUCUUACUCUCUGCAUUUCGCAGCACUCAUCUUCACUUCCACUCAUCACUGAAGAAGUUUCUGCCAGCACGGAGUCCUAAGACCUCCCUUACAACCGCCAUGCCUCAUGCCUCAAGAUUGUUAGCCCUGGUCUCAACACUUACUCUCUCACCAGACCUAUCUUCCCAAUGCCAGCCCUUUCUUCUCUUUCAGACUGUCCAAAAGAUUGCACCAUCAAGGA